rnacentral:rRNA from 1 species
GUCACACCCGUUCCCAUACCGAACACGGAAGUUAAGCUUCUCAGCGCCGAUGGUAGUUGGGACCUUGUCCCUGUGAGAGUAGGACGUUGCCAGGC